ACAAGGAGAUACUACUUAGGCUUUCAAGAUCCAGUUGAGAUUCUAGUUCUUAUACUCAACCAUACACAGGACAUAUCGUCAUAUUUGACUCUGAAACACUAACCAAGCUUUUUAUUGCUUCUCAAAGCUUUGAUGGUGUAGCCGAAGUCCGUAUGAGUCUUUGGCAUUGUAUCUUCUAAUAAGGAACCACU
rnacentral:sRNA from 1 species